rnacentral:rRNA from 1 species
UACGUAGGGUGCGAGCGUUGUCCGGAAUUAUUGGGCGUAAAGAGCUCGUAGGCGGUGUGUCACGUCGGCCCGUGAAAACCUGCAGCUUAACUGUGGGCGUGCGGUCGAUACGGGCAUCACUGGAGUUCGGCAGGGGAGACUGGAAUUCCUGGUGUAGCGGUGAAAUGCGCAGAUAUCAGGAGGAACACCGGUGGCGAAGGCGAGUCUCUGGGCCGAUACUGACGCUGAGGAGCGAAAGCGUGGGGAGCAAACAGG